UUCUGGUUGAUCCCGGCGGAGGCUACUGCUAUUGGGAUUCGAUUAAGCCAUGCGAGUUGAAUGAAUUUAGAUUCAUGGCGUACGGCUCAGUAACACGUGGAUAACUUACCCUUAGGACUGGGAUAACUCUGGGAAACUGGGGAUAAUACCGGAUAUUAGGCUAUGGCUGGAAAGCUUUGCCUUUGAAAUGUUUCUUGUAUUCGCCUAAGGAUAGAUCUGCGGCUGAUUAGGUCGUUGGUGGGGUAAUGGCCCACCAAGCCUAUGAUCGGUACGGGUUGUGAGAGCAAGAGCCCGGAGAUGGAACCUGAGACAAGGUUCCAGACCCUACGGGGUGCAGCAGGCGCGAAACCUCCGCAAUGUACGAAAGUGCGACGGGGGGAUCCCAAGUGUUAUUCUUAAUAGGAUAACUUUUCAUUAGUGUAAAAAGCUUUUAGAAUAGAGCUGGGNCAGACCGGUGCCCCAGCGCGCGGNUACACCGGCAGCUCAAGUGGUAGCUGNUUUUUAUGGGCCUAANGCGUUCGUAGCCGGUUNGAUAAGUCUUUGGUGAAAGCNUUAUGGCUAAACUGUAGAUUGCUGAAGAUACUGUCNGACUGAAGUCGGNAAAGGUAAGAGUACUACCGGGUUAGGGUGGAAUCCUUUAAUCCUGAAAGAACCACUGUGGGAAAAGCUCUUACUGGAACA
rnacentral:rRNA from 1 species